rnacentral:miRNA from 1 species
GUAAUCUACACACUACAGUUGACUAUAUUUAUAUGUAUAUGUGUGUGUGUGUGUGUGUGUGUGUGUAGACACACACACACAACACACUGCAUGCACACCACA